rnacentral:ncRNA from 1 species
CUGAUGGGAAACAAGGGCGUAUGGUGGAUGCCUUGGCUUAAGAAGGCGAUGAAGGACGUAGCGUGGCGGCGAUACGCUUCGGGGAGGUGCCGAGCAACCUUUGAUCCG